UCGUCUUGAAGAAAGAAAUUGAACGAGUGAGUGAACCUCCGUUUGUUCUUCAAAGUUUCAUUAAUAAUGAAAUCAUUUUUUAGCUACUAUAACACAAUUUUGUACAAAUAAAAUUGCUUAGUAACUUUCGCUAGUAAUGAUUCAACUUCUGUUCUAAGCCUACAAAGAAGAACUCAAUCAUCAAUCAGUGAGGGUGUUUUUUUUACCCUUCAUUUCCUUCAUGGAGCAGAGGUGGCCAAAUUGAUUGCUGACAAAUUCCUCCUAGACCAUUCAACCUAUUCUUGGUGUUGAAUUGGGAGACUAUCAGUUCCUUUUACAUCCAUCACUAUCUCUAGGACAAUAUUUCAUUAUAUGUUUCAAAAAACAGUGCUCUGUUGAGCAAACCAGUUCAGCAAAAAAAAAUCCAAUCCUGUGUCUUUUACAAAUGAGAAGUUCUAUGAUGAAAGCCUUUUCUUUGUUUUCGAGUAGUUAUUCUAAGAUUGGUCUUCGUUCUAUCAAUUUCAAGGGAAAAUUGCUGCGUGAAUGCAGGAAAAGUAGGUUAUGAAAAUCAGUAGCUGCGGAAAGCUUUUCUUGUUUGGGCGAUAGUUCGAAAUGCGUGAAUCCCCGCAUGUUGAUCCAAUAACUUCCCGUGAAUUUGUUUCAUCUUCCAGUUCAGUGGACUUCAUUUGGAGCUGCUAUAUUAAGUUCAUGGUAGUCCACCUCUCCUAGUUGAAGCUUUUUUGUUAUCUAUGUAGUUAUUUAUUAUCCUGUUUUCCUUUCCGUUGUUAUUUGUUUGGUAUUAGAAGAGCAAUCAUAGGACGGCAAGAUGCCAGGAAUCAUAAACCCAAAACCGUAUUAUACCAAAUUGAAUUGCCCGUUCCUUAUAGUAGAAUGUUUUCCUUCCGCCUGCAUUGGUAAUUGUACCUUAAAAGAAAAUAUGUAGAAAAUGGACAAUACAAAAUUA